rnacentral:rRNA from 1 species
UACAGAGGUCUCAAGCGUUGUUCGGAUUUACUGGGCGUAAAGGGCGCGUAGGCGGCCACCGCAAGUCGACUGUGAAAUCUCCGGGCUUAACCCGGAAAGGUCAGCCGAUACUGCGGGGCUAGAGUGCAGAAGGGGCAACUGGAAUUCUCGGUGUAGCGGUGAAAUGCGUAGAUAUCGAGAGGAACACCUGCGGCGAAGGCGGGUUGCUGGGCUGACACUGACGCUGAGGCGCGAAAGCUAGGGGAGCGAACGGG